rnacentral:misc_RNA from 1 species
GAUGAAGAACGUAGCGAAAUGCGAUACGUAAUGUGAAUUGCAGAUCUCUCAGUGAACCAUCGAAUUUUUGAACGCACAUAGCGCCCGCCGGUCAUUCCGGCGGGCAUGCCUGUCCGAGCGUCAUCUCAACCCUCGAGCCCCCCCGGGGGCUCGGCGUUGGGGACCGGCCCCGCCCCAGGGCGCGCCGCCCCCCAAAUCCAGUGGCGGUCCCGCCGCAGCCUCCCCUGCGCAGUAGCUUGCACACUCGCACCGGAGAGCGGCGCGGCCACGCCGUAAAACCCCCCGACCACGGAGCCCCGGCUCCUGAACGUUGACCUCGGAUCAGGUAGGAAUACCCGCUGAACUUAAGCAUAUCAAUAAGCGGAGGA